UACGUAGGGUGCGAGCGUUAAUCGGAAUUACUGGGCGUAAAGCGUGCGCAGGCGGCUUUGCAAGACAGAUGUGAAAUCCCCGGGCUCAACCUGGGAACUGCAUUUGUGACUGCAAGGCUGGAGUACGGCAGAGGGGGGUGGAAUUCCGCGUGUAGCAGUGAAAUGCGUAGAUAUGCGGAGGAACACCGAUGGCGAAGGCAAUCCCCUGGGCCUGUACUGACGCUCAUGCACGAAAGCGUGGGGAGCAAACAGG
rnacentral:rRNA from 1 species